rnacentral:rRNA from 1 species
GAGGAAAAAGGACCAACAGGGAUUGCCCCAGUAACGGCGAGUGAAGCGGCAACAGCUCAAAUUUGAAAUCUGGUCCCCAGGGCCCGAGUUGUAAUUUGCAGAGGAUGCUUUUGGUGAGGUGCCUUCCGAGUUCCCUGGAACGGGACGCCAUAGAGGGUGAGAGCCCCGUCUGGUUGGAUACCGAGCCUCUGUAAAGCUCCUUCGACGAGUCGAGUAGUUUGGGAAUGCUGCUCUAAAUGGGAGGUAUAUGUCUUCUAAAGCUAAAUAUUGGCCAGAGACCGAUAGCGCACAAGUAGAGUGAUCGAAAGAUGAAAAGCACUUUGAAAAGAGGGUUAAAUAGUACGUGAAAUUGUUGAAAGGGAAGCACUUAUGACCAGACUUGGCCCCGGUGAAUCAUCCAGCGGUUCCCGUUGGUGCACUUUGCCGGGGUUCAGGCCAGCAUCAGUUCGCUCCGGGGGAUAAAGGCUUUGGGAAUGUGGCUCCCUCGGGAGUGUUAUAGCCCAUUGCGCAAUACCCUGUGGCGGGCUGAGGUUCGCGC